CCUACGGGAUGCACCAGUGGGGAAUAUUGCACAAUGGGCGCAAGCCUGAUGCAGCCAUGCCGCGUGUGUGAAGAAGGCCUUCGGGUUGUAAAGCACUUUCAGCGGGGAGGAAGGCGGUGAGGUUAAUAACCUCAUCGAUUGACGUUACCCGCAGAAGAAGCACCGGCUAACUCCGUGCCAGCAGCCGCGGUAAUACGGAGGGUGCGAGCGUUAAUCGGAAUUACUGGGCGUAAAGCGCACGCAGGCGGUCUGUCAAGUCGGAUGUGAAAUCCCCGGGCUCAACCUGGGAACUGCAUUCGAGACUGGCAGGCUAGAGUCUUGUAGAGGGGGGUAGAAUUUCAGGUGUAGCGGUGAAAUGCGUAGAGAUCUGAAGGAAUACCAGUGGCGAAGGCGGCCCCCUGGACAAAGACUGACGCUCAGAUGCGAAAGCGUGGGGAGCAAACAGGAUUAGAUACCCGGGUAGUC
rnacentral:rRNA from 1 species